AUGACUCUCUUCACAUGCGCCAAAAAAAAGCGGUAGUUCCCAAGGUUCUGACAUGGAACUGUUCCGGGUUUCUAAAUAAAUAAGCUCCAGCUAGUCCCGACAACGGCUCAAAGCCUCCGAUCGAUCCUGGCUGUGUAUCGGCGAUUCUGUGCUCUCUGUUUCCUCUCCUUUCGGCAAUUCGAGAUGCCCCGAAGGGAAUCAAGGCCUUGAGCGGAGCAUGGCUCAUUCUCUGACAACCAAAAAAGCCCAGACUCUUUUAGCUGAAUGGGGGGAAAGAGAGAGGACGUCAUUAGUACUGUACCAACCACAUCAGGCCACGUCAAAUGGACGAGGAAUAAAAGCUGGCUGAAACGUUCAGUCUUGCUCUGCUGUGGCAAAAAACCGGAUGCCCAGGUGUAGGUGAAUAUCAUAUCCACGCGUUCCAUGGGGAGAAGCGCUUGCUGAUUCCAUUGCGUGGGUCGUGAUGUGUGAAACCUGUGCAGCAUUUCAAUGGGCGGUCCGAACGGUGGAAUCAGGCACGUAAACCUUCACGACUCAACAAAAACAAAUCUGUAACUUUAUAUCUUCUCAUGUUUAUAUUUAUCUCUGUUCUAGUUUCAUGGUCAAACGCUCAAAAUAUUCAUCCAGAGCAAGUUUUUUUCCCCCUUUCUUUUGACCCUUUCAGAUUGAACGAGUUUAUGUUUGUUUUAUUUCAGAAAGGGCGGCACAAUCGUGUCGCGUUGCAGGUGUUUUCCAUAGACGCACGUAUUCAACUAAUUCAGCUUUGGCGACUUUCUGAAGCCACCUGCCUGUGCCAUAUUUCAUAGUCACUAUUGGUUCCAUUGAUGUUGACAUUAUUGUUUCCCAAUUGCUUACUCCAUACAAUAUCUCAAACAUAACCAAUAUCAAUAUUCCGUCCAUUUCUCGAUGUUUUAAAUAGCUAACACAAACGGAGCGUCUUUCUCGAUGCUCAUAUGCCGUAAGUACCCGGCUUUACUAGUAACAAUCAUGGAUAUGCAGAUUAAGAAAAAUAAAACCACUCCGUCUUGAUGGAGAAUCCCUUGGGAAUUCGCGCCCUUCUGGGUGGUUUCCUCAACUUUUUGAGGCAAUCCUUAGUUUAAGGAGAGAUCACAACAAACCACGGAUAUGGACAAAAAACAUACAAGAAUUUUGCAAAAAAAAAGGCAAAGCCGGCUGGACACGAUAUCGCCGGUAGAUGACGAGAUCCUCCCUCCUGCUCCACCUUCCAACAUCCGAUUUUCCCGCCCGAUUUCACAUCCACAUUCGCCUCUGGAUUUUAUGCGAGAAAAUUUACCCGACUAGGCCGGCGCGAUGAAGGUUACCCACAUAGGAUCGAGAAAUCAUGGAAAUAUUCAAAUCAGGAUGAUCCAUCCCAGCCGACAAUGCCUGUGGUGCGUUCUAGGCGGUAUUUUUCGGUCUAUUACAGGCGGCGGUGUGAUCACUCCAAAUUGGACACCAGUGGGAUGGUUUUUUUUUUUUUUUUUUUCCCCACGACCCUAGAAUAAUAAUAAUUAUGAUGACAAAGGUAGACCGCUCACUACCAUCAACUUAGGGAACUAUUGACCAUGAUUCUAUAUCCUGGGGCUCCUCGCCUUUUUUUUCCAGGCGAAAAUCAUUCAAAGCUGUCGGCCAAUCUGGAUCACACUACAUCGGAUUGUGACUACCCUCCACUCCGUGUGCUUUCAGGCAGCUGAAUAUCUCCUUCAAGGAACCGGAUUAUUUAUACACUCGGGAGAGAUGGGAGAGGGCCUAGCUUGCCCACACAUGUAUUUCAAUUUCAAUGUCUCGCCAAGGGAAUGGACAGUGAAUUGUACAGUACGUGCUAUGUACGGAUCGUGGUAGGAUAUUGAAAUAAUAUGUGAAUUCAGGGGCGACGUACGAUUGUUCUAUAUAUAUAUAUAUAUAUACGCCGUUGCUCUGAAUUAGAUUGCGGCCAGUGGGGCGUUUUAGAUUGUUGCACCUUGCGAUACCCAGCAAUGGGGACUUGUCUCGAUCUUCCUGUUAGUUCAACGAGAGACACCCAUGGGAGGAGCGAACAGGGACAGACAGAUAGACAGACAGACAGACAGACACCCUUUUUUAUUUGCGAAAAUUCUCCAAUGUUCCUUGUCCAAUUGGGGAAUAAUCCUCAAGAUGCCACAGCGGACCGAUUGAAGGUUUUUUUCUCGCCGUGGGUGAUGUGCAGGGCAAACGUUACGCGGGCGUGGAGGCAAAUGUGGAAUAUAUAUAUAUUUUUAAAAACAAUUCGCUGGCCAUCCCGAUUACAGUGGAACUGUUCGUUUUAUUUACAUCUGCGAACAUAUCUAUUGCCGCAGCAAACGCUGACUAUAUACACCUAUGUUGUGUUGAUAUAUAAAUAAAUGCAUAUUAACAAAAAUGUAAAGCAUCUUACCCCACCUAACCCCUAACUUUACGAUUUAGCUGUUUCUGGAGGGCAACGGCAAGAUGCUGCCAGGGUUCCGCGAUUUCCCCCGUCCUCAUGCAGUUGAGAACGAUUAAAAGCUUGAUUGGAAGGAGGGACGUCGAGAGCGGGGUUCUUCUCGAAAAACCCAUCCGGUUUGAGCAUGAUGCUUAUCCUUUCGACAGGCAUGAUGGGGAAGUCCUCAGGACGUGGAUUGUGUGUAAGGCCGAAUGCUGCAGUUUAUAGUUAGCCACUACUCAUCCUCUCCUUUGGGCUCUGUUGAAAAGGGCCAUAAAAAGGGACUCGUGGGUUUUUUUUUUUUUUUUUUUUUUCCCCAAGACACCAAUGUUCAGCAAUGGGUUGGGAGUAACUCACUAUGCCAUAAUACGACAUCAGUGUUUUCAAUAUUAUCAUUCCUUCCCACCCAUUCUUCAACACCAGAGCUCUUCUUGCUUUGGUUUGUGAACUCGCCAGCAGCAUGGAGUUCUCCAUCUUGGUAUUUGGUCACCCAGAUCGGCUUGGUCGCGAACUGUGCACGCCUCCGAUUGAAACUGCGAGGACUCAUCAACAUCAUCUGGCUAGGCAGAGUCUGCAGCGUGUAAGCUACCGGCUUGCGCGAGAUUGUGUUGAUGACGCUAUCGUUGCGGAUCUUGAAGACCCGGUACUUCUCAACGUUAGUAUCGGCUGUCCCGGACCUUUUCAGCACAGUCGUUUCUGUUACAUAUCCAACGCCGUAUGGGUUGGCCACAGGGUCAUCUGGCAUUGGCACGCUGUCUUGAUAUAUCACGGUGUUAUUAUGUCCAUCAAUGGACGGGUCAACGCGCAUGGAGAAGAUAUGCUGAUGGAACGCCGCCAUGACGCCGGGUCCAACAUUGGUGCCCCACGGCACGGUGGCGCCGUCCUCAUUGUUAAUUGGCAUGGUGGAAAGAAUGCCGGUUGCGCGGACUUCCAGCUCGAUGCUUCCUGCUUGAUCGAAGAUCCAGGCGAAGAUAUAUUCGUAGUUGGAGACGGUGCAGAUAACCUGCACGACAAGCUGGCGCUUUCUAACAACGGUGGCUUCCGCGGUGCGAUAAUUGGUGUGUUUGUAUUGAAGCCCGGCGUCCUGUUCGUGCAUACAGAUUAUGUUCUCGAGGGUGACGGGGUUUCCUUUGGAGUCGGUUCGACAACCGUUGAAGUAUUUUAUGUGGCCUAGACAGUCGCAGCCUAGGGAGAGUGUGUUGGCUGUGAUUCCGAACCCGAUGUCACCGGCAUCGAAUGCUUGUUUGCGGUGGUAUGGAGCUCGAGGGUCUUGAAAGGCGUGAAAUUAGCAUGGUAAUAGUUUUUAUGGCUGAGGUUUUUUUUUUUUUGACAUACCGCCAUAUGGAACAGUCAUUUCGCAUACAGAAAGACGGUAAAAGACGCUGCGUUUAUCAUAUGUAACACCGUACAGGACCAGGCCAUCGCGGUAAUUGAAGCCAAUUCUGAAAUCCCACUUUUGCCAGUGGACAGCAUUGCCAUUGACAGAAAAAGAAGCGCCCUCUGGUUGCUGCACGAUGUAUGGUUUAAGAUCCGUUCUCAGCGGCUCAUCCAGCAGGUCGUGGGCAUAUUCAACCGCUUUGACCGGCUUCCACGGACUGGUUUCGGUGGUCGAAUGGUCCGUUCCGGUUGGGAGGUAGUCCAUGCGCACAAGUUCAUGGGUGAGACAAUCGAAAACUGGAGAAAAGGGGAGUGGCAGUGAAUAGUGAUUUGCCUGUGCGUGGUUUGUUUCCGCCAUGUACAUGUAGCACUGGAACAACCUUCUGGUCUCGUUUUCAUCGUCACAGCCGUAGAUCCAGGGAUCAUUGAGAACGGUGACGCC
rnacentral:sRNA from 1 species